rnacentral:tRNA from 1 species
GCCCCUAUAGUGUAGUAGUUAUCACGUCCCACUGUAAGUUUAUUUAUUCGCUUAAAAAAAAGGGUAACUAAUAUUAACAGUGUAUAAUAGCGUACUUGAAAUGGGGAGGUCCUGGAUGCGAAUUCCAGUGGGGGCA